AACGCACAUUGCGCCCAUUAGUACUCUAGUGGGCAUGCCUAUUCGAGCGUCAUUUCGACCAUUAAGCCCUGUAGCUUAGCGUUGGGAGCCUACGCCCUUGCGGCGUAGCUCCUCAAAGUCAGUGGCGGAGUUGGAGCACACUCUAAGCGUAGUAAACUUAUCUCGCUUCUGUAGUUGCCCCGGCUGCCUGCCGUAAAACCCCCUAUAUUUCUAGUGGUUGACCUCGGAUUAGGUAGGAAUACCCGCUGAACUUAA
rnacentral:misc_RNA from 1 species